GGAUGUGUGUGAGCAGAAGUGCUGGCUGGAAGAUGUGAAGUGUGCAUUUGUAAAGCUGCUGUCGGUGAGGCUGAAGAACACGCACGGACUAAACGGACAGAAUUAAACACUUCACAAUAUGAAGACGCGAACGCAUCAUGGGAUCAUAUUGAUUGGUGUUGUGAGCGUGCUUACAAGCUUAUUGUUCCUGUACAACAGCAGUUUUACUGACACACCAGAAGAUCAGAUGCAGUCAGAUAUACAGCAGAUGGAUGUUCUACAACAGCAAACAUCCCACUUAGAAGGUUACAACAGCAUCAUUGAUCAUAAG